ACAUGCAAGCCGAGCGGUAGAGAUCUUUCGGGAUCUUGAGAGCGGCGUACGGGUGCGGAACACGUGUGCAACCUGCCUUUAUCUGGGGGAUAGCCUUUCGAAAGGAAGAUUAAUACCCCAUAAUAUACUGAAUGGCAUCAUUCGGUAUUGAAAACUCCGGUGGAUAGAGAUGGGCACGCGCAAGAUUAGAUAGUUGGUGAGGUAACGGCUCACCAAGUCUACGAUCUUUAGGGGGCCUGAGAGGGUGAUCCCCCACACUGGUACUGAGACACGGACCAGACUCCUACGGGAGGCAGCAGUGAGGAAUAUUGGACAAUGGGUGAGAGCCUGAUCCAGCCAUCCCGCGUGAAGGACGACGGCCCUAUGGGUUGUAAACUUCUUUUGUAUAGGGAUAAACCUACCCUCGUGAGGGUAGCUGAAGGUACUAUACGAAUAAGCACCGGCUAACUCCGUGCCAGCAGCCGCGGUAAUACGGAGGGUGCAAGCGUUAUCCGGAUUUAUUGGGUUUAAAGGGUCCGUAGGCGGAUCUGUAAGUCAGUGGUGAAAUCUCACAGCUUAACUGUGAAACUGCCAUUGAUACUGCAGGUCUUGAGUGUUGUUGAAGUAGCUGGAAUAAGUAGUGUAGCGGUGAAAUGCAUAGAUAUUACUUAGAACACCAAUUGCGAAGGCAGGUUACUAAGCAACAACUGACGCUGAUGGACGAAAGCGUGGGGAGCGAACAGGAUUAGAUACCCUGGUAGUCCACGCCGUAAACGAUGCUAACUCGUUUUUGGAAUGUAAGUUUCAGAGACUAAGCGAAAGUGAUAAGUUAGCCACCUGGGGAGUACGAACGCAAGUUUGAAACUCAAAGGAAUUGACGGGGGCCCGCACAAGCGGUGGAUUAUGUGGUUUAAUUCGAUGAUACGCGAGGAACCUUACCAAGGCUUAAAUGGGAAAUGACAGGUUUAGAAAUAGACUUUUCUUCGGACAUUUUUCAAGGUGCUGCAUGGUUGUCGUCAGCUCGUGCCGUGAGGUGUUAGGUUAAGUCCUGCAACGAGCGCAACCCCUGUCACUAGUUGCCAUCAUUAAGUUGGGGACUCUAGUGAGACUGCCUACGCAAGUAGAGAGGAAGGUGGGGAUGACGUCAAAUCAUCACGGCCCUUACGCCUUGGGCCACACACGUAAUACAAUGGCCGGUACAGAGGGCAGCUACACUGCGAAGUGAUGCAAAUCUCGAAAGCCGGUCUCAGUUCGGAUUGGAGUCUGCAACUCGACUCUAUGAAGCUGGAAUCGCUAGUAAUCGCGCAUCAGCCAUGGCGCGGUGAAUACGUUCCCGGGCCUUGUACACACCGCCCGUCAAGCCAUGGAAGUCUGGGGUACCUGAAGUCGGUGACCGUAACAGGAGCUGC
rnacentral:rRNA from 1 species